CAGCUAACCAUGGACUAGAACUAAUCAUGCAACAUAGCAGGGAACAUAGCAGGGAUCUGUCCAAAUUAGCACUAUCAUCCAACACUCACAAAGAAUACAACAGAGCCAUCACACUUUUCACAAGAUUCCUAUCCGACCAUGACAUAACCCAUCCUUUCGUCAUGACAUCUAUUAUAGCCUUCGCUUCUUUUUGCCACCUUACAUUACACUUAUCUUACAACACAAUCAAAUUAUAUCUGACAGGCAUUCAACAUCAUAUGCUAACUCUACAACCCAAUACACAUAGUUUCAUGUCAUCUUAUCAGGUAAAGAAUAUACUUAGAGGUAUUCAGAAAUCCGUUCCUCCACCUCUUCCACAGAGAUUACCUAUAGAUAACACACUUGUGACAAAGUGCCCUUAGCCACUUGGUCCUGGAGAGGCCUACUUGCCAGCCUCCUCCCCUGUGACUAUGACUCUUUCAUCUAUCUGGCUUUAAAGCCCCUAGUCUACCUUCAGACAAACUAUUUAUGUGGG